ACGUACCCUGAUCCUGGGAAUAACCCUCGGAAACGAGGGCUAAUACCGAAUGUGGCGAACGACCGGUUGGUCGCUCGCUAAAGGUGGCCUCUUCUAUGCUGCCGGGUUGGGAUCGGCCCGCGUCCCAUUAGCUAGUUGGUGAGGUAACGGCUCACCAAGGCCACGAUGGGUAGCCGGCCUGAGAGGGUGUACGGCCACACUGGCACUGAGACAAGGGCCAGUCCCCUAUGGGAGGCGCAGGCGGGAAUAGUUCACAAUGGGCGAAAGCCUGAUGACGCGACGCCGCGUGAGCGAAGAAGACCUUCGGGUUGUAAAGCUCUGUCAGGAGGGAAGAAGGCUCUACGGGUUAAUAGCCCGUGGAAUUGACGGUACCUCCAGAGGAAGCCCCGGCUAAAUACGUGCCAGCAGCCGCGGUAAUACGUAUGGGGCAAGCGUUGUCCGGAUUUACUGGGCGUAAAGGGCGCGUAGGCGGUUUGUUAAGUCGAAGGUGAAAUCCUCGGGCUCAACUCGAGAAUUGCCUUCGAUACUGGCAAACUAGAGUGGCGGAGAGGAAAGCGGAACUCUUGGUGUAACGGUGGAAUGUGUAGAUAUCAAGAGGAACACCGGUGGCGAAGGCGGCUUUCUGGACGCACACUGACGCUCAGGCGCGAAAGCGUGGGUAGCAAACAGGAUUAGAUACCCUGGUAGUCCACGCCAUAAACGAUGGGUACUAGGUGUCGGGGGUAUCGACCCCUCCGGUGCCGCAGUUAACGCACUAAGUACCCCGCCUGGGGAUUAUGGUCGCAAGGCUGAAACUCAAAGGAAUUGACGGGGCCCCGCACAAGCGGUGGAGCAUGUGGUUUAAUUCGACGCAACGCGAAGAACCUUACCUGGGCUUGACAUGCUUGGGACAGCGCUGGAAACAGCGUCUCUCCUUCGGGAGCCCUUGCACAGGUGCUGCAUGGCUGUCGUCAGCUCGUGUCGUGAGAUGUUGGGUUAAGUCCCGCAACGAGCGCAACCCUCGUUACUAGUUGCCAUCAGUUCGGCUGGGCACUCUAGUGAGACUGCCGGUGAUAAACCGGAGGAAGGUGAGGAUGAUGUCAAGUCAUCAUGGCCCUUACGCCCAGGGCUACACACGUGCUACAAUGGUCGGCACAAAGGGUCGCUAAGCCGCGAGGUGGAGCUAAUCCCACAAAGCCGGCCUCAGUUCGGAUUGGAGUCUGCAAC
rnacentral:rRNA from 1 species